UCUUGUUCUUAGAGCUGGUGAAUGGAGGCUUCUCCCUGAGCAACUCUGGAGCAGGGCAGACCCGUUCAACCGCUGAACUGCCCAGCACCUCCACUCAGGGACUGCCCCAGCUGGCUGAACCAUCUCAUGAAAAUGCUGGUGUUUUCCUCGCAAAAUCGAAAGCUAAGUUCCUAUGUCACCUCACUGUUACUCAUCCUUUAAGUCGGAGGACAAGUCACACCAAAGGAACGAAGCAGCGAAAACUAGUAGGUGGAGUCUAGUUCAAAGGACCAAGCCUGAAGUGUCAGCUGGACCUCAAGUGAUGCAUGUAUUAUUCUGCAGUACCUGUGUAGCACAUCCCAAUAGUUGUACUCAGCGGCAUAAACCCAAGAGACAUGAACACAUCAUAAAGAAACAUGGAUAAGGAUGCUAAUCAGUGCUGUAUACUGAAGCCAAAAGACAUAAACAACUCAGAUAUCCUUAAUGAUGAAUGAACAAACAAAGUUAUGUGUCUAUGAGGUAAUACUAUUUGGAUAUAAGAAGGAAUGAAGUUCUGCUUGAAGCUGUGGUAUGGGUUAACACUGAAGCCUGAUGAGGAAUAAGAUUCAGUCACUGAUUCAGUUCUGAUUCAGUUACAGUGAUGGUUGAAGGGGACAAAGUAGUUGUUUAUGUGUGUAGGAGGGAAAAGAGGGUAAUCACUAG
rnacentral:lncRNA from 1 species